rnacentral:lncRNA from 1 species
ACUAAGGGGGAGGGGGUGGGCUUAGCCUCACAAUGGGCUAGCAAUAAUGUGAUUCAAUCAGUUGUUUAUUAAAUAUUAUUUUGUCUAUUUUAAACACGUUCAAAACAUCUUAAAAGGCAUGUAAUGCCGGUUAUAAAAAAAAUCCUUCGCACAUGAAUAAUAAUGUGAUUAAAUUAGUUGUCAAAUGUUUUUUUUAACAAACGAUAUUAUCUACACUAAGGGGGAGGGGGUGGGCUUAGCCUUACAAUAAGCUAGCAAUAAUGUGAUUCAAUCAGUUACUUAUUAAAUAUUUUUUUCUCUAUUUUAAAACACAUUCAAAACAUCUUAAGAGGCGUGUAAUGCCGGUUAUAAAAAAGGUCUUUCGCACGCGGAUAAUAAUGUGAUUAAAUUAGUUGUCAAAUGAUAUUUUUUUUAAACAAACGAUAUUAUCUACACUAAGGUGGAGGGGGUGGGCUUAGCCUCACAAUGUGCUAGCAAUAAUGUGAUUCAAUCAGUUGUUUAUUAAAUGCUGAUUAUAAAAAAGGUUUUUCGCACGCGGAUAAUAAUGUGAUUAAAUUAGUUGUCAAAUGAUUUUUUAUUUUAUUUUAACAAACGAUAUUAUCUAUACUAAGGGGGAGGGGGUGUGCUUAGCCUCAUAAUGGACUAGCAAUAAUGUGAUUCAAUCAAUUGUUUAUUAAAUAUUAUUUUCUCUAUUCUUGAUGUAAAUUCUAU